CCGGCCCCCCUCUCUGUUCUUAUUUUUUUCAUGUAUAGAUUUAGGAAUUGAUGGAUCUGUGGAUGGAUGGAUAGAUCGAUGGAUGUGUGCUUCAGAAUCUGUCAAAGCACCUCUUGUUGUAUACAUAUGCAAAGAGUAAUUCUUGUUACUCACCCGUAUGAGGUAUAGGUUGUGGGAAUCCAGACCUGGAGUUGGGGAUUGAUGAUGUGAAAUGGCGGCGUCACGAGCCAUAAGGUCACCACUGAGACCAUAAGCAGCCCAGCACCCAGCGCCCAACAACAGCAAUCCAACAUAUAUGCACAUAACAAGUAUGAGCGGACACACGCAUGAGCAAGCAUGGGAAUAGAAAUGGAUAGCCAUGCUGAGAUGGUUCUUGGGCGUACCUAUGGUGCGGGGAGCGCCGGUCAGCCUGGCGGACCUUUGACAUAAGCACAACACUGGAUCAGACACACGCAUAGUCGUUGGCGUGUGUGCUGGAUCGGCAGCCUGCGGCUGGAUACAAGCAACCGGCGUGCCUUGGUCGCUUGGCCUAUCCAUCAGCAUUAUAUCUCCUUCAUCAAUUAUUUUUCUCAUAGUCUUUACGAUGAAGGCUAGGAACUAUGCUAAAAUAUACAUAUGUCUUAGUUGUUGCUUUUCUUAAUGCAGAUAUGGAAGAUCUAAAAGCCUCUGUGAAAGAUUUUUGGUUCUGCAGAAGCCAAUGAUCUGGCACACUGAGACCUUAAUUUCUGGAGUGAACGACUGCAGGAAUCAAAAUACAAUGUUGAUGAGAUAACUACUUCUGGUUAGGCGGGGGAAAUAAAAAGGGUAACCAUAGAUAUAUGGUCUAGCAUCACGAGGUUCAGGUUCCUGCUGUUGAUCAACCGUUUCUUCGGUCGAGCCAAGAUGAGUGCUCAACACCUACGUCUCAUGCUAACUGAACUGGUGAUGUUUAUUCUUCACCUCAAUUGACGCCGCAUGUUCCCCCUGCUUCUCGGCGGGCACAUCUGAAUCGUGGAGCGUGAACUGGUCAUAGCGAACUGGCCUGUUCGGUAGAAAAGACAAUUUUUUUUGUGGCUACCAGUUACAGGUGCACACAAGAUGCUUACGAUUGAGCGGUCUACACUACACAAACUAUCAUUUUGGUCCUUUAUACAUACAAGAGGCGAGCAAGGACACAUACAUACAUUCGAGUGCCAAUAAUUCAACUGUCGGUUAUCAAUCGGCUGUGUGUAUCUUGUUUCAAUCGGCAAUGGUGCAUACACAUUUCAGUGAGCACACAUACAUGCUUGAUUUUACUUCAGUUAAUUCUAUAAUUACUAAGAACUGUUUUGUGAAGGUGUGCCUCCCUAUUUUGUCCAGAUAACCACUUCUGUCUACAUAUUGUGACCAGAUUAUGAUGUAUGGUCUCUUUCCAGCUACGGAAAAUGGUGUACUGCAUACUGCAUGCACUGAUGAUAGGAUAGAUGGUUUGUGACGUACAACCUCUGUACCAAAAUGUAGGAUCUUUGGACAGGCACUUUGUGGUAGAAUGUGUUGAAAUAGGUCUAUUUGCUAGAAUAUGUGUUGUGUCGAUGUUGCAACUAGCAUACACAAAAAUGACUUUGCUAUAUAUUUUCAUAAUGCUAUGUUCUGCCAGUUAAAUGACUUCUUAUUGUUUUGAAUCUACUACAAAAGUGUUUAAAGAUUUACUUUGUCCCAGCGCCUACUUUGGAUCAGAAGAAAGUAAAAAAGCUAGAAGAUACUCCCAAUGGAACAAUUUAUCCUAUAUCGAGUGGUAAUUGUGUUAUGUAUCAGAUAACUUCUCAUAUUAGUAAUUCCCACUAAGAAUUCAUAGUUUUCAUUCUUUUCUUUUGAGAAAAAAAAUCUGAGUAUUGGUGCAUCCAGAAAGGAUCUGGAGGUCAGCUUGUUAGUAAUCCCAAUAUGUGUGCCAAAUUAUGUUGCUGUGGAUCUCAAGGAAUGAAUGACAGCAAGCUGAUGAUUCUGCUUGAUGGAUCUGUGUACGUUCCGAUAUAUGAGAACAAGGGCAGCAAUAGGAUGCUCAUCAGCAACAUCCUGUGAAACUGACUACUGCAUGCUAACUAUCCAUAUGCAUAAUCCUAUAUUUGUGUAGAUAGUUCCUAUCACCUGAACUAUCAAAAUCUUGUUAAGCGUUAGCCUGAUGUUUUAUAUAUUUUCAGCACCAAGGGCAAUGUAGAAAUGCAAGAACAGAAGCUUUGCGAGGUGGUUGUUGAUGAAUCAUGUAAGGAUGGUGCAGAACUCACAAGAGGGAAAAGACCGAACUGCGGUAACCAAAUCAAAUAGCUGAUAAGGUUCACUUGGAAGUGGUUGAGGUAGCCUGACCUGGUGAGACCUGGUGACGCGAUGCGUACAUCGGAGGAAGUAGAUCUUGUGAGUGCGGGAGUGGAUCUUGCAAUUGAAGUCGUGCCUCCGAUGCAGAGGAGCAGCGGCGAUGCGGUGGAAACUACAGGGUGAGUGAGAGAUUGGAGAAGGAGGGGAUGGUCAUGAAGUGAGUAAGUGGAUUAACAUCGUCUGGUUAAGUAACUUGGGCCAGCCCAUUAUUGUGAAUCUGUCAUUUGUCUUCUUGAAAGCCCACAACACGGUUUAAAUAUGUAUUGGGAGUUUGGGACAACUAAAUCAGAUAAAUGAAAGAAAUUAUAACGCUUAUAACAGUUUAUAAAAUGAAGUAACAAAGUGCAUAUCCAAGUUUAGUAAAUUUUAGAA